CUACUUCAUUCUCUCUCAAUUCUUUCUCUCACAUCAAAUAAAAAAUUCCCUCAUUCUCCCAAUUCCCUCAAUCGCACUCUCUCACAAGUCUCGUCUCUUUCUUCCUUACUCUCAUAGACCUCUUUCUCGUGCAGGUGUACUAACGGAGGCUUCUGGGGACUUGGCGAAGCGGAGGCUCGACAUGCUCAACAAUGCGUGGCUGGCGACGGGGAUGUGGUGUGGUCGACGAUGCGAGGCUGGAAACGGGGCUGGGUUUGAAGCUUAGUGCUAGGUUGAAGUUCGAGGAUUGGUCAAUUUGUAGAGAAAGGGUCGAGAAGAAAGGGAGAGAGAUGAGUUGCGACAAUGGAGGCUUGCUGGGGAUGCACUAGCGAGGGUCAUGCCGGUGAUGGAGUCGCGCGGUUGUGGGAGAGCAAAGGUGGGGAUGUGGGCUCGUGUGACUUGGGAGAAUAGAGGCGGGAACAAAAUGGUAUAUAUAUUUGAGUUGUGAGAUAAAUGCGUUGGUUUGACAAACAAGGGAUGAUUUUAGAAAGAAAUUCAUGGUAGUCAAUCCUUACUUUGGAAAGACUAUUGGUGACGAGGGUGACAAUAAAUUUAGUGUUUUAUUUUAUUUGUGAUUUUUAUUAGAGUAUAAGUUUUCUUUUUUGAGUGGUUAAUUAUUUACUUUGUAAAUCUAGUUAUAUUUUUUUUAUUAGAUUUGUAAAUUGAAUGUAGAAAUUUUGUUAUUUUAAUCUAUAAGUUUCCAGAUUUGUAUAUAAA